AGUUAAACUCUACUAUUAAGGG
rnacentral:tRNA from 2 species